rnacentral:rRNA from 1 species
GACAGAGGAUGCAAGCGUUAUCCGGAAUGAUUGGGCGUAAAGCGUCUGUAGGUGGCUUUUUAAGUCCGCCGUCAAAUCCCAGGGCUCAACCCUGGACAGGCGGUGGAAACUACCAAGCUGGAGUACGGUAGGGGCAGAGGGAAUUUCCGGUGGAGCGGUGAAAUGCGUAGAGAUCGGAAAGAACACCAAUGGCGAAGGCAGCUCGCUGGGACGUUACUGACGCUGAGACGCGAAAGCGUGGGGAGCAAACAGG